AUUGAACGCUGGCGGCAGGCCUAACACAUGCAAGUCGAGCGGAGCGGCGGAGGGGUGAGUAAUGCCUAGGAAUCUGCCAGGUAGUGGGGGAUAAAGUCAGGAACCGGGCGCUAAUACCGCAUCCUAUCAGAUGAGCCUAGGUCGGAUUAGCGAGUUGGUGGGGUAAAGGCCCAACAAGGCGACGAUCCGUAGCUGGUCUGAGAGGAUGAUCAGUCACACUGGAACUGAGACACGGUCCAGACUCCUACGGGAGGCAGCAGUGGGGAAUAGUUGACAAUGGGCGUAAGCCUGGUCCAGCCAUGCCGCGUGUGUGAAGAAGGUCUGCGGAUUGUAAAGCACUUUAAGUUGGGAGGCGUUACCCACAGAAGAAGCACCGGCUAACUUCGUGCCAGCAGCCGCGGUAAUAC
rnacentral:rRNA from 1 species